rnacentral:rRNA from 1 species
UACAGAGGGUGCAAGCGUUAAUCGGAAUUACUGGGCGUAAAGCGUGCGUAGACGGUUAUGUAAGUCGGGUGUGAAAGCCCCGGGCUCAACCUGGGAAUGCCAUUCGAGACUGCAUAGCUAGGGUGCGGAAGAGGGAAGCGGAAUUUUCGGUGUAGCGGUGAAAUGCGUAGAUAUCGGAAGGAACACCAGUGGCGAAGGCGGCAUCCUGGACCAACACUGACGCUGAGGAGCGAAAGCCAGGGGAGCAAACGGG